UAAAGUGUUCCGGCAUGCUUACAAUCUGCCAAAGGCCAGAAAAUGGGACCUUCAUUUUAAGACUGUAUGGAAAAGAAAACAACAACAACAACAACAAAAAUUAAGAGAAGGAACUUUUCCUUCACCUAAAUUUUAUUAUUCUGCAACUCCUUCAGGUUUCACACCAGAAGACAUUCUUCUCACUGAAGUACAGUUAAGCCCCACAAAGUGCCAAAAAAAAUAAUAAUAAUAAUAAAAAAGCCCCAAAGUAAUGUGCUUACAAUUUAGUUUUACGUGUUGGCAUUAUUUACUUGUCUGGUCUUGCAUUCAGGGCUUGAUCUGUCUGGGGGGGAACAUGUAAUGCCAUGCAAGGUUGUCUGGUUGUAUGACUGACAACAUGACUUCAAAAUUUUGAACUGUUUGUAUAGAAGCAAGAUACAGAAGAGUACACUGUCCCUGAGGGAAACAGAGAAACUACCUGUUGCUUCUCAGGUUUAAAGUUAAAAGGUGUAAUCAGCUGUUUGAGUACAAUUCUUAUGAAUACAUGAACAUUUUCCUCUCCAAUUUCCAACUUGGAGUGCAACAUUUUUCAUCAUACUCUUAGAUCAGGAUUCUGAUUCUAACAGUGGCUCCUAGUGCAUAUUUCCAGAGAAG